rnacentral:rRNA from 1 species
CCCGCACAAGCGGCGGAGCAUGCGGAUUAAUUCGAUGCAACGCGAAGAACCUUACCAAGGCUUGACAUAUACGAGAACGGGCCAGAAAUGGUCAACUCUUUGGACACUCGUAAACAGGUGGUGCAUGGUUGUCGUCAGCUCGUGUCGUGAGAUGUUGGGUUAAGUCCCGCAACGAGCGCAACCCUCGUUCUAUGUUGCCAGCACGUAAUGGUGGGAACUCAUGGGAUACUGCCGGGGUCAACUCGGAGGAAGGUGGGGAUGACGUCAAAUCAUCAUGCCCCUUAUGUCUUGGGCUUCACGCAUGCUACAAUGGCCGGUACAAAGGGCUGCAAUACCGUGAGGUGGAG